rnacentral:rRNA from 1 species
UACGUAGGGGGCAAGCGUUGUCCGGAAUUAUUGGGCGUAAAGCGCACGUAGGCGGCUUCGCAAGUCCCAUGUGAAAGCCCACGGCUUAACCGUGGAAGUGCAUGGGAAACUGCAGAGCUUGAGUACUUAAGAGGAUCGCGGAAUUCCCGGUGUAGAGGUGAAAUUCGUAGAUAUCGGGAGGAACACCAGUGGCGAAGGCGGCGAUCUGGGAAGAUACUGACGCUGAGGUGCGAAAGCGUGGGGAGCAAACAGG